rnacentral:rRNA from 1 species
AUGAACGCUGGCGGCAUGCCUAACACAUGCAAGUCGAUCGGUAAGGCUCUUCGGAGUACACGAGAGGCGGACGGCUGAGUAACGCGUAGGAACACACCCUGCAGUGAGGGAUAAGACACCGAAAGGUGUUCUAAUACCGCAUACGGCCUUCGGAUUAAAGCAUUUAUGCGCUGAAGGAGUGGCCUGCGUCAUAUUAGAUAGUUGGUGAGGUAAUGGCUCACCAAGUCGAUGAUGUGUAGCUGGUCUGAGAGGAUGAUCAGCCAGACUGGAACUGAGACACGGUCCAGACUCCUACGGGAGGCAGCAGUGAGGAAUAUUUCACAAUGAGCGAAAGCUUGAUGGAGCAAUGCCGCGUGCAGGAUGAAGGCCCUCGGGUUGUAAACUGCUUUUAUAAGAGAAGAUUAUGACGGUAACUUAUGAAUAAGGGACGGCUAACUACGUG